UGAUAGUUCAGGAUGCUUCAGAGAGGGCGGCACUUAUACCUCGUGGUCUUUCUGAUGGCCAGUUUUAUUCCCCUCCUGAAUCUGAAGCAGGAUCUGAGGAAGAAGCUGAAGAGAAACAGGACGGUGAAAAACCACUUUUAGAGCUUUGAGCGCCACUUCUGUUAAAUGUGAAGAGCCUCCCUGAGAGUCAUCCCAGGGGAAGACGCCUGGCCAUGGGGACGCCGCUGCUGACUGCACUGGGCAGCUGAGCCAGCACGUGUUUACACGGGACCUCGCGGACAGGGCACCGCGUUCACAUGGCUCGGCCGCCUGCCUGG